rnacentral:rRNA from 1 species
GUCUUUAAUUUGCCAUCAUUGAGUUGGGCACUUUAAGGAGACUGCCGGUGUUAAACCGGAGGAAGGUGGGGAUGACGUCAAGUCCUCAUGGCCUUUAUGCCCAGGGCUACACACGUGCUACAAUGGGUGGUACAAAGAGCAGCCAGCUCGCGAGAGUGAGCAAAUCUCAAAAAGCCAUCCUCAGUUCGGAUUGAAGUCUGCAACUCGACUUCAUGAAGUUGGAAUUGCUAGUAACCGCAGGUCAGCACACUGCGGUGAAUACGUUCUCGGGCCUU